CCUUACAGAGCACGGAGCUCUCACAGAAAAGCAGUGUGUGAUCUGGAAGAUGAGACUGCUGGGUCUUCUCCUGUGCCUGGUGACAUGUCCCCAGGGUGUCCUGUCCCAGGUGCAGCUGCAGGAGUCCGGACCUGGCCUGGUGAAGCCCUCACAGACGCUGUCCCUCACCUGCUCCGUCUCUGGUUUCUCCAUCACAACCAGUGGUUAUGCAUGGUACUGGAUCCGUCAGCGCCCAGGAAAGAGCCUGGAGUGGAUGGGGUACAUAAACUCCGUUGGUAACACUGGCUACGACCCGUCCGUCAAGAACCGCAUCUCCAUCUCCAGAGACACAGCCAAGAACCAGUUCUUCCUGCAGCUGAGCUCUCUCACUGCGGAAGACACAGCCAUGUAUUACUGUGCAAGAUACACAGUGAUCUCAUACAAGUUUAAGUCAAAACAUAAACCGUGCUGCAAGGAAACUCAGGACCAGCAGGGGGCGAUCAGCCAAACUGCUCUAUUUAACCGAGUUCACCAGCCUGUGGUAAAAACCUGGAGAGUUUCAUGUCAAGGUAAUUAG